GGGCGGUUAGCUCAGUGGUGAGAGCGCCUGUCUUACACACAGGAGGUCACUGGUUCAAAUCCAGUACCGCCCACCA
rnacentral:tRNA from 2 species